rnacentral:lncRNA from 1 species
AUUUAACACUGUUUCCUUAUUUUGAUGCUCUGGAAGUUUUUAUGCCUAGGAGGAAUUUUUCACAGUAAAAUUAUAGGUGUAUUUCUUUUGAAUAGUAAGGGCAAGGGCUGUUUGGAAAGAAAAAUUGAACAAAGCCAUGAAAUUUAUAUAUACAAGUUGAAGAUUUAGAAGUCAAUUCCUGUGUAUUCCUUGCUAAAAUUGUGCACACUAUAGGAGGUGCUGUUAUACUAGCCUGUAUUCACUCUCAGGUUCUAUUUCCUAGGUGAAACAAUCCAGGGUCUUAAAUAUCACUUCAGUUUCUGCCCACUCAUCUCAAGUCAGAGUCAACUAAAGGAGUUAGACAAUGACCCUUUGGAGCCUGAUGAGACAGGGAAUCAUGUGGCCACAUUCAUAAGUUAUGUAAGUAUUCUCAGUACUGGAUUGCCCUAUAGACACACCAAGCCUAGGCUAGAGGGGUUCCCACUGAAUCAAAUUAUUGAGGGUUUGAAUCCAGGAAUUUAUAUUUUAGAAACACUCCAGAAAAUUCUAGUGAUCAACCUGGUGUAGGAGCUACUAUCACUUAGUGAUUAGAAGUUGAGGGAGAAAGAGGGAAAGGAAAGAGUCACAGAAUCACCUGGAGGAUUUUUCAUACUAUACAGCACUUCUUUAUUCUAUUACUCCUUAGGUUGUCAAUUUCUCCAUUAAAGAGUAAAGAUCUAGAACUGUUUGUUUUGUUGAUGAGGUGUGUUUCCUCCUCUGGACUAAGACUAAUUUUUUAAUUCUUAAAAUAAUUAAUUUUUAAAAAGAUUUUAUUUAUUUAUUUAUUUUAGAGCACACAAGUGGUGAGAGGAGCAAAAAGGGAGGGAGAGGAAAGGGAAAGAAUCUCAAGGAGACUCUGCACUGAGCAUAGAACCCGACAUGGGAUUUGAUCUCACAACCCCAAGACCACAACCUGAGUCGAAACCACGAGUAGGAUGCUUAACUGACUGAGCCACCCAGGCACCCCAAUAAUUAUUUGAUUUUUGAGCUAAUUUUUAAAAUAAGCAAUGAGGAAGAAAAGCUUCAGGAUUCCUAGGUACUUACACCAGGCAUUUUUCUAAUGUCUGUCUUUCUCUACCCAAAAUUAUAUCAGAUAAUACUCAAAUACUUUUGCACUGCUUUUAAGAUUUUUUAAUUCCAAAGUUAUAGCAUAUUUAUGCCUCUCCUUUGGUAAGAGACAGUUCCAUAGAAUUUUGCCCUUAAGUGAUGAUUGCCUCAAAGAGGAAAAAUUUCUGACUCAUUCUUACACAUUGCUUUUGAAAAGAAAUGACUGGCAGUAUUGAAAUUCUAUCAUACUUCUUUAACCAAUUUGAGGUUGGUACAAUAUGAAGACCCUCUCUUCUCUUUUAAUAGUAGUAUGAUUGAUGAGCAGAAAAUCAACCAAAUAAACAAACAAACUUGAUUUGGACA